AUUGAACGCUGGCGGCAGGCCUAACACAUGCAAGUCGAGCGGAUGAAGGGAGCUUGCGCCUGGAUUCAGCGGCGGACGGGUGAGUAAUGCCUAGGAAUCUGCCUGGUAGUGGGGGAUAACGUCCGGAAACGGGCGCUAAUACCGCAUACGUCCUGAGGGAGAAAGUGGGGGAUCUUCGGACCUCACGCUAUCAGAUGAGCCUAGGUCGGAUUAGCUAGUUGGUGGGGUAAAGGCCUACCAAGGCGACGAUCCGUAACUGGUCUGAGAGGAUGAUCAGUCACACUGGAACUGAGACACGGUCCAGACUCCUACGGGAGGUAGCAGUGGGGAAUAUUGGACAAUGGGCGAAAGCCUGAUCCAGCCAUGCCGCGUGUGUGAAGAAGGUCUUCGGAUUGUAAAGCACUUUAAGUUGGGAGGAAGGGCAGUAAGUUAAUACCUUGCUGUUUUGACGUUACCAACAGAAUAAGCACCGGCUAACUUCGUG
rnacentral:rRNA from 1 species